rnacentral:tRNA from 1 species
UCCCUGGUGGUCUAGUGGUUACGAUUCAGCGCUCUCACCUCUGUGGCCUGGGUUCGAUUCCUGGUCAAAGAA